rnacentral:rRNA from 1 species
GUCCUUUUGAAUAAUAUUUUGAGGUCUGGCCUGCUCCUGACGAAGUUUUAAAGAGCCGCGGUAAUUUUGACCGUGCAAAGGUAGCAUAAUCAUUAGUCUCUUAAUUAGGGGCUGGAAUGAAUGGCUUGACGAGAAAUCAGCUGUCUCUUGAUAAAUUUUAUAAUUUAACUUUUGAGUCAAAAGGCUUAAAUUUUUCUUUAGGACGAGAAGACCCUAUAGAGCUUAACAUUUUAUUUUUAUAUAAUUUUUAGUAAAUCUUUUUAUAUAAGAUGAUAAUGUUUUGUUGGGGUGACAUGAAGAAUAAAUAAACUCUUCAUUAUAAAUUCAUUAAUUUAUGUAUUUUAUAAUGAUCCAUAAUUUAUGAUCAUAAGAUUAAGUUACCUUAGGGAUAACAGCGUAAUUGAUUUUGAGAGCUCAUAUCGACAAAUCAGAUUGCGACCUCGAUGUUGGAUUAAGAAAAAUUCUGGGUGCAGUAAUUCAGAAAUUAGGUCUGUUCGCCUUUAAAUUCUUACA